ensembl:lncRNA
CUUGGGCUUUGGGAGAAAAAACAAAAGAGGAAGAUUGGCAACAGAUGUGAGCUUAGGGCCAAUCUUCAAAAAAAAAACCCACAACUCGAGUGAUUUCACGUCGACUCAUGUAACUCUACACUCCAGCAUUCCCGUAGGCAUGUGGACCUCAGUAGGAACAAUUUGUGAGCUAUGAGAAAUCACAGAUUACUUGAAGAUGAAUUGUUUAAAUUUCCUUUCAAGGGGGGACAAUUGACAAAUUAUCUGUUAGCAGUUAAAAGUAAACUUCCAUGUUUGCCAAUGAACUUUAAAACUGACUCAUCAAUAUUUGAACCUUUUCAUUAAAACGUUUAAAUAACCAAAUACCUUUUACAGUCAUAAUGUUGCAAAUAUAAUUUAUUAUGUUAGAAUAUCCUGCAUAAGCAAGGAGACAUGAUAGGGGAGAAUUUAGUAGACAUAAAAUUUAGUGCAUAAUAUUCACUAAUACUUGAACAAAAUCCCAAACCCUUACAAAGUUCAACAAUUCCCUGCAUGAUCCGGCCUCUGGCUACUUCAUUCUCCAUCGCUCUCCCUCCUACAAACUCUACUACAGUUACUGGCCCCUUCAACGUCCUAUGGCCAUUGUCUCCCUUACUAUUCCCUCUCCUUGGAAGAAUAUACACCUCAAACCCCCAUGUCUUGCUUAUUUCACUCACGGCUCUCAAACCAGCAACCCCCAAUUCCCUUCCCCAUUACUCUCUAUCCUCUGACUCUGCUUUCAUUUUUUUGAGAAUAUUUACAGUAUUACCAACUGAUAUUAUAUGUUAGCUUAAAUAUUCAUUAACUAGUCUGUUUCGUUCAGUAUAAUUUAACCUCCAAAAACUCAAAGUAUUUAUAUGUUUUGUUCACCACUGUAUCCCUUGCACCUAAAAGAGUACCAGGUGCAAAGUACACACUCAACAAAUGUAUUUUUAACAGAUGAAUGACUAAAGAAAUGGAUAGAUUCUUACAACAACCCUGAGUUGAAGGUAUCAUUUUCUCUCUCCAAAUAAGAACACAUCAUUUGUAACAAGCAGAGUUGGCAUUGAGCUAAAAAAAAAAGGACUUAUUCCUGUACUCAAUCUAAACAGACACGUUUCAAGCCAAACCCAAUGAACUAUGAUUACUACGUCAUCUGAAUUCAGAGAUCUGAUAAAAAAACAAAUAAUUGCCUACUAGUCUGAUACAGCUAACAACCAGGAUUAAAGAAGAAAGGCAUUUGUUCCAUCAUGAAACAUGCUUUAUUAGGGAAACAGGAGCAAAGCUAUGUUUCCCAGACCACAGAAAGGGUUGCCCAGAUCUCAGACACACAGAAAAGAAAGGCUGCAUUUUAAGGAAGUUAGACUUGUUCCUGUUGCUCUUUUAUCUGGGGCUCUAGGGCUCUGGCAUCCCCAAGAAUGGCCCUAUCUCAGACAGGAAUCUGACCCUAAAAAGAAAGAGAGUUCCUUUAGGAUUAAGUCUCUUUUAUGUCAAGCAUCACCGCAGGAAGAGCAGGAUAGAGGCUCAGGGAGCACCAUCCGCCACCAGGACAGGCUUCAGAGAAGAGGCGACGAAGCUGCUGGAGAUGGGAGGAACUAUUUGUUUUUCUUGCAUUGUGGCCUUAAUGGCUUUUGCUCUUGCUGCUUUUGGGUGGUCACUUCUGCUGGCAUGGUGGUGGUGGCUGCACAGGAGGACACUUCUGCUGGCAGAGUUGAGGUGGAAUCUCCGGAGGUGGGCAUGGCUCUGGACACUUGGGAGGUGGGCACACAGGAGGGGGCUGGCAGGGCUGCUUGCAUUGCUCCUGCUGCUGAUAGGACAUCUUUCUGGAUAUGAGGGAACCUGAAAGAAAUACAAAUGUCAUUGCUCACAGGUGGAACACUUGCAGACAGAGCGAGCCAAAACCCAUCAAAUAAGCAAAGUUAUCUCCAACGGUAUUCUUUGGUCUUCUAACUCUCUCUUUAAGACUUUCUGUGGCUCUUCUUCUUUUUCUCGUUAAUAUCAGUAUCUUGGGCUAACUUUUCUCACUUUUCUUGACAUUUUUCAAUGACAAAAUUGUCUCCUCUCUCUUGAGAUAGCAACAUUAGUGGGUGAAUGCGAACACAAUCUGGAGGAAAAAGUUGCUGAAUUUCUGGCCAAUAUCAAAACAAAUCUCUACCCACAUCAGCUCCCAUAAGGCCAUGAUUAAGGUGUAACUAAGCUAUUUUGGGUCUAUUCAGAGUCUCUGAAACAAAGACAAGGUCUGAUCAGAGAGAACUGCCGAGGCUCAGACUUGCCCUCAAUGGGCUCAUACAAGAGGCUGGCAAUACAGUAAGAGACUCUUUCUUUAAUAUGUAUGACCAGAGAGAAACUCUUGCCCUCCUUUUCUUUCAACGCAAUAUUAUUCCCUAAACUACUUCUUGCUUAUGGACACCAACCUUGUGAAAGAAAGGGGCAUAAGUAAUAAACAAAAAAAUAACCCACUUAGACCUUUAUCUGGGGAAUGAAAGUCUGACAGUUUUCAUUCCCCAGAUAAGAAUAUGCACAUUAUUCCUUAAAAAUAGCUAUUUCUGCUUACAAAUUAAUUCUAAACAUCGUCUCAGUUUCCCCAAGCAGACAGAACCCCCCCCAAAAAUCAGACUCACUUGAUUCUCCAGAGCUGUUGGGGAUUUGAGUGUGAGGAGGAUAGCAACAAUGGAGCAGAGUGCCCCUUUAUAUAGCUAAGUCGCCCACACCCUCAGGAAGUGAAGAAGCCUAAGACCGGGCUGGACCAGUUAUUUCUAAACCAUAUUCAAUCCACCUGAAAUUCCCAAAAUGUCUUGUCACCCUGAUUACCAGAAACUCC